GUGCUUGCUUCGGCACCACAUAUACUAAAAUUGGAAUGAUACAGAGAAGAUUAGCAUGGCCCCUGCGCAAGGAUGACAUGCAAAAAAGAAAAGGAACCCUCAUAUAA
ensembl:snRNA U6 U6 spliceosomal RNA